rnacentral:tRNA from 1 species
GCGGAAGUAGCUCAGUUGGUAGAGCGCAACCUUGCCAAGGUUGAGGUCGCGGGUUCGAGCCUCGUCUUCCGCUC